rnacentral:rRNA from 1 species
UACGUAGGGUGCAAGCGUUGUCCGGAAUUAUUGGGCGUAAAGCGCGCGCAGGCGGUCCUUUAAGUCUGAUGUGAAAGCCCACGGCUCAACCGUGGAGGGUCAUUGGAAACUGGGGGACUUGAGUACAGAAGAGAAGAGUGGAAUUCCACGUGUAGCGGUGAAAUGCGUAGAGAUGUGGAGGAACACCAGUGGCGAAGGCGACUCUUUGGUCUGUAACUGACGCUGAGGAGCGAAAGCGUGGGUAGCAAACAGG